rnacentral:rRNA from 1 species
AUACGUAGGUGGCGAGCGUUGUCCGGAAUUACUGGGCGUAAAGGGUGCGUAGGCGGAUAAUCAAGUCAGAUGUGAAAGUCCAUGGCUUAACUGUGGGAGUGCAUUUGAGACUGAAGAUCUAGAGUGCAGGAGAGGGAAGCGGAAUUCCUAGUGUAGCGGUGAAAUGCGUAGAUAUUAGGAAGAACACCAGUGGCGAAGGCGGCUUUCUGGACUGUAACUGACGCUGAAGCACGAAAGCGUGGGGAGCAAACUGGAUUAGAUACCCUGGUAGUCCACGCCGUAAACGAUGAGUAUUAGGUAUAGGGGACGAUAGUCCUCUGUGCCGGAGCAAACGCAAUAAAUACUCCGCCUGGGGAGUACGGUCACAAGACUAAA